GAUGAACGCUGGCGGCGUGCCUAACACAUGCAAGUCGAACGUGAGGAGAUAGCAAUAUCUCUGAAAGUGGCGAACGGGUGAGUAACACGUAGGUAACCUGCCGCGCAGAGGGGGAUAACCACUGGAAACGGUGGCUAAUACCGCAUAGCACGACAAGGAUGGGCAUCCUUGCCGUGAAAACUGAGGUGCUGCGCGAGGGGCCUGCGUCCGAUUAGUUAGUUGGUGAGGUAAUGGCUCACCAAGGCGAUGAUCGGUAGCUGGUCUGAGAGGAUGAUCAGUCACACGGGAACUGAGACACGGUCCCGACUCCUACGGGGGGCAGCAGUGAGGAAUAUUGCCCAAUGGACGCAAGUCUGAGGCAGCAACACCGCGUGGAGGAUGAAGGUCUUUGGAUUGUAAACUCCUUUUCUGAGGGAAGAGCGAGGACGGUACCUCAGGAAUAAGUCACGGCUAACUACGUGCCAGCAGCCGCGGUAAUACGUAGGUGGCAAGCGUUAUCCGGAAUUACUGGGCGUAAAGCGCACGCAGGCGGCUCUUUAAGUUUGACGUGAAAGCUCCCGGCUUAACUGGGAGAGGUCGUUGAAAACUGGAGGGCUUGAGGCAAGGAGAGGGGUGUAGAAUUCCCGGUGUAGUGGUGGAAUGCGUAGAUAUCGGGAGGAAUACCAGUGGCGCAAGCGGCACCCUAGCCUUA
rnacentral:rRNA from 1 species